UUCCUUGUAGAUGUAUCUGUUGUCAGGGUUAGUAACAUGGGAUUGUGAUCAGAUAUAAGGGGAGGUCCAUAUACAGUGUGCACAUGGUGCCACUUCAUCUGCCAUUCAAAGUUACCAAACACCCUAUCCAGUCUACUACAUACUCUAUCAUUACCACUUUGUUGAUUAAACCAGGUAAAAUAAUUUCCCUCCCAUAGCAGCUCAACUAGGCCUGAUUGCUGAAUGCAAUUAUUAAAAUCAACAAGGUCCCUUUGCCUCACUUGUUGGCAGGAUUGUCUUUCCUUGCUAGACAGAAUUGCAUUAAAAUCUCCUGCAAUGAUCCAGGGAUCAGUAAUACCAGUAGAUAAGUUUAGAAUAGACUUCCACAGCAACCUCCUUUGAUCACAGUCAUUAAAUCCAUAGACUACUGUAAGCCA
rnacentral:lncRNA from 1 species